rnacentral:hammerhead_ribozyme from 1 species
AUUCAGCUGACGAGUCCCAAAUAGAACGAAAUUCGCGUCCUUCAU